UAAGUUUCUCUCUUUGAAGAAAAGAAAAAGAACAAACAAAAAGAAGAGAAAGGGUGAGUUUCCCGCCCAAUUUUGUAGACACACUUCCAUUAAUAUAUGAAGAAACAAAAAAAAGACCAAAACCAUCACAACUCAAAAACUAUCAAACGUUUAGCAGAGCCCACAAGUAGAUAAUGAUUUGUACAAACAUAGGCACAGCUUGUUACACACCAAGAGGCCGCAACUUCUUCCUAGACCUCUUGAACAAGGCCACAACUCUCUCCCAACUCUACCAAACCCACGCCCAAAUCAUCCUCCAUGGCCUUCACCACGACCUCUCCACCCUCACAAAACUCACUCACAAACUCUCUGACUUCAAAGCCAUUCACCAUGCACGUGUACUCUUCCUCUCCACCCCAAAACCCGACCUUUUCCUCUUCAAUGUCCUCAUCAAAGGGUUCUCCACCAAUCACUCACCUUCCUCUGCUGUUUCACUAUACACCCAUUUGAGAACAAGGACUAAUCUUAAGCCUGAUAACUUUACUUACGCAUUUGCUAUAUCGGCAGCCUCGGGUUUUGAGUCGGAAAAGUUUGGUCUUUUGUUGCACGCUAAUGCGGUUGUUGAUGGGUUUGGAUUCAGUUUGUUUGUUGGGUCCGCGGUGGUUGAUUUAUACUUCAAGUUUUCACGUAUUGAGAUGGCGAGGAAGGUGUUUGAUUUAAUGCCUGAGAGAGACACGGUUUUGUGGAAUACUAUGGUUUCCGGGUUGGUGAGGAACUGUUGUUUUGGUGAUUCUAUAGAGGUUUUUCAGGAUAUGGUUAAAGGUGGGGUGAAGUUUGAUUCUACAACUUUGGCAACUGUGCUUCCGGCUGCAGCAGAGUUGCAGGAUUUGGGAGUGGGAAUGGGGAUUCAGUGCUUGGCUUUGAAACUUGGAUAUGAUUGUGAUGAGUAUGUAACAACGGGUUUGGUUUCUUUGUAUUCAAAAUGUGGGGAGAUUAACACGGCAAGAUGGUUGUUUAGGCAGAUUGAUUGGCCGGAUUUGAUAGCUUGUAAUGCAAUGAUUUCUGGGUAUACUUGCAAUGGUGAGACUGAGUCUUCAGUGAGGCUAUUUGGUGAACUGCUUGCUUCUGGGCAGAAAGUCAAUUCAAGCACAUUGGUAGGGUUGAUUCCUGUCUUUUCGCCAUUCGGGCAUCUGCAGCUCUCUUGCUGUAUUCAUGGUUUCUGUGUGAAAUGUGGUGGUGUUUCACAUGCUUCUGUUUCAACUGCAUUAACUACAGUUUAUAGUAGACUAAAUGAAAUUGAAUCAGCACGGCUGCUUUUUGAUGAAACUCCAGAGAAAAGUUUGGCAUCUUGGAAUGCUAUGAUAUCUGGUUAUACUCAAAAUGGGUUUACAGAGAUGGCAAUUUCUCUUUUCCGGGAAAUGAUGUUUGAAGUCCAUCCAAAUCCUGUCACAAUUACAAGUAUUCUUUCGGCUUGUGCCCAGCUUGGGGCUUUAAGUCUUGGAAAAUGGGUUCAUGGCUUGAUUAAGAGUGAGAAUCUUGAGUCUAAUAUAUAUGUCUCAACUGCUCUAAUUGACAUGUAUGCAAAGUGUGGGAGUAUUGUGGAGGCUCGGCAAUUAUUUGACUUGAUGACGGAUAAAAAUGUAGUCACUUGGAAUGCCAUGAUUUCGGCUUAUGGCCUCCAUGGACAUGGGAAUGAAGCACUAAAGCUUUUUAAUGAGAUGUUGCAUUCUGGGCUUCCGCCAUCCAACGUUACUUUUCUUUCUGUCUUGUAUGCUUGUAGUCAUGCUGGUUUGGUGAGGAAAGGAAAUGAAAUUUUCCAUUCUAUGGUCCAUGAUUAUGGGUUUCAGCCAUUACCUGAGCAUUAUGCCUGCAUGGUUGACAUCCUUGGCCGAGCAGGAAAACUAAAUGAGGCCUUGAAAUUUAUAGAGAAAAUGCCAGGUGAGCCAGGUCCUGCUGUAUGGGGUGCAUUACUUGGUGCUUGCAUGAUUCACAAAGACACAAACCUGGCCCGUGUGGCUUCUGAAAGGCUAUUUGAACUGGACCCAGAAAAUGUUGGAUACCAUGUCUUACUCUCAAAUAUUUACUCAGCUGAUAGGAAUUUUCUUAAGGCUGCUUCAGUACGACAAGUUGUCAAGAAAAGAAAGCUGUCAAAGACUCCUGGGUGCACUCUAAUUGAGGUUGGUGAGACGCCACAUGUCUUUACAUCUGGUGAUUGGUCCCAUCCUCAAGCAACAGCAAUCUACAAAAUGCUAGAGAAGUUGACUGGAAAGAUGAGGGAGGCUGGAUUUCAAUCAGAGACUGUCAUUGCUUUGCAUGACGUAGAGGAGGAAGAGAAGGAGUUAGCGGUCAAGGUUCACAGUGAGAAGUUGGCCAUUUGUUUUGGCCUCAUUGCUACUGAACCUGGAACUGAAAUCCGAAUCAUUAAGAAUCUCAGGGUUUGUUUAGAUUGCCAUAAUGCAACUAAAUUUAUAUCCAAGAUUACGGAGAGAGUUAUUGUGGUUAGAGAUGCUAAUAGAUUUCAUCAUUUUAAGGAUGGUGUCUGUUCUUGUGGAGACUAUUGGUGAAUUUUUUGUUUUCUACACCAGCCAAGAUUUAGAACAAGAGUCAUCAGAAAUCAUUGGGCAGAUGAUGAUAUCCUUUUUGGACAUUUUUGUUGAUAAUAGUGAAGGAGGUUAGCAUUGCAUCUGAGGGCAAUGAAGAUGGAACAGUUUGUUCUUUGGGAAGCAAAGAAAGCAAAUUAUAGGAGGUGCAUAAACUGUGUAUUGAUGUGCAAAUGUUUCAG